rnacentral:rRNA from 1 species
UACAGAGGUCUCAAGCGUUGUUCGGAUUCAUUGGGCGUAGAGGGCUCGUAGGCGGUCUGUCGCGUCGGGAGUGAAAACUCAGGGCUUAACCCUGAGCCUGCUUCCGAUACGGGCAGACUAGAGGUAUGCAGGGGAGAACGGAAUUCCUGGUGUAGCGGUGAAAUGCGCAGAUAUCAGGAGGAACACCGGUGGCGAAGGCGGAUCUCUGGGCCGUAACUGACGCUGAGGAGCGAAAGCAUGGGGAGCGAACAGG